rnacentral:misc_RNA from 1 species
GAUGAAGAACGUAGCGAAAUGCGAUAAGUAAUGUGAAUUGCAGAAUUCAGUGAAUCAUCGAAUCUUUGAACGCACAUUGCGCCCCUUGGUAUUCCGAGGGGCAUGCCUGUUCGAGCGUCAUUAUAACCCCUCAAGCUCAGCUUGGUGUUGGGGCCUGCUGCACUGGCAGCCCUUAAAAUCAGUGGCGGCGCCAUCUGGCUCUAAGCGUAGUAAUUCUUCUCGCUAUGGAGUCCUGGUGGAUGCUUGCCAUCAACCCCCAAUUUUUCUAUGGUUGUCCUCGGAUCAGGUAGGGAUACCCGCUGAACUUAAGCAUAUCAAUAAGCGGAGGA